ACGUAAGGGGCGAGCGUUGUUCGGAAUUAUUGGGCGUAAAGGGCACGCAGGCGGUUUUACAAGUCCGAUGUUAAAGACCUGGGCUUAACUCAGGGAAUGCGUUGGAAACUGUAAGACUAGAAUCUUGGAGGGGGAGUCGGAAUUCCUAGUGUAGGGGUGAAAUCUGUUGAUAUUAGGAAGAACACCGGUGGCGAAGGCGGACUCCUGGCCGAAGAUUGACGCUGAGGUGCGAAAGCAUAGGGAGCAAACAGGAUUAGAUACCCUGGUAGUCUAUGCUGUAAACGAUGUGCACUUGGUGUUGGGCCGAUUAGGUUCAGUGCCGUAGCUAACGCGAUAAGUGCACCGCCUGGGGAGUAUGCUCGCAAGGGUG
rnacentral:rRNA from 1 species